UACGCGAGCUGGGUUUAGAACGUCGUGAGACAGUUCGGUCCCUAUCUGCCGUGGGCGCUGGAGAACUGAGGGGGGCUGCUCCUAGUACGAGAGGACCGGAGUGGACGCAUCACUGGUGUUCGGGUUGUCAUGCCAAUGGCACUGCCCGGUAGCUAAAUGCGGAAGAGAUAAGUGCUGAAAGCAUCUAAGCACGAAACUUGCCCCGAGAUGAGUUCUCCCUGAGACUUAGAGUCUCCUGAAGGAACGUUGAAGACGACGACGUUGAUAGGCCGGGUGUGUAAGCGCAGCGAUGCGUUGAGCUAACCGGUACUAAUGAACCGUGAGGCUUAACCUUACAACGCCGAAG
rnacentral:rRNA from 1 species